CACGUAGGCACCAAGCGUUGUCCGGAUUUAUUGGGCGUAAAGAGCUCGUAGGCGGUUCGGUAAGUCGGAUGUGAAAACUUUGGGCUCAACCCAAAGCGUGCAUUCGAUACUGCCAUGACUAGAGUUCGGUAGGGGAGUGGGGAAUUCCUAGUGUAGCGGUGAAAUGCGCAGAUAUUAGGAGGAACACCGGUGGCGAAGGCGCCACUCUGGGCCGAAACUGACGCUGAGGAGCGAAAGCGUGGGUAGCAAACAGG
rnacentral:rRNA from 1 species